GUUAAGCGAUGCUUCAUACCCGACUGAACUUGAACUUGUGUUGUGCUUGAGGGCCUUGUGGGUGUCGUCGGGCUGCUUGGAGAGACUGGAGCGACAGGAGAAAAGGGAGACCGUGGUGAGACAGGCUUCCCUGGACCCCCUGGAGAAAAGGGAGCUAUGUAAACCCCACGGAAGUCCAUAUUUCACUACAGGGACACAGUUAAUACACCGAAAGAAGUACCUAGAGAAGCUACUUUUUUGGAUUUUUGCAGGGUCACCAAGGAAUAACGGGUGAACCUGGACCACCUGGACAUCCAGGAAAACCAGGAGCAGCUGGGUCAGUUGGACAUGUAGGCACCAGAGGACCCAAAGGCGAGCAGGGUCCACAGGGACUUGAAGGUCCAGCAGGAAAGCCAGGAUCAGGAGGGCCAAAGGGUUCUGAAGGUCCUCCAGGACAGCCGGGCCUCCCUGGGUUGCAGGUACGGGCAGGUGCACUGUAGUGUAUAGCACUUUAAGUCACCUUAAAAUGGACAUUUCUCUUCAAAAGAUACAUUUAAAUGAAACAGAAGUGGUCAGAGACUAUCAUUUAUGGCUCAUUGUAAGAAACAAAAAUACAAAUAGAUACAUGUGUUUGGAGCAAAUGAAAUGACUACUAACCAUUAAUUUGCCCCAGUGAAUCAGUUGU
rnacentral:lncRNA from 1 species